rnacentral:rRNA from 1 species
UACGGAGGGGGCAAGCGUUGUUCGGAAUUACUGGGCGUAAAGGGCGCGUAGGCGGGUGGACAAGUCUCUCGUGAAAGCCCACGGCUCAACCGUGGAAUUGCGGGAGAUACUGUCUGUCUCGAGUCCGGGAGAGGAGGGUGGAAUUCCCAGUGUAGCGGUGAAAUGCGUAGAUAUUGGGAGGAACACCGGUGGCGAAGGCGGCUCUCUGGACCGGUACUGACGCUGAGGCGCGAAAGCUAGGGGAGCAAACGGG